rnacentral:rRNA from 1 species
CAGCCGCCGCGGGAAAACGGAGGGUGCAAGCGUUAUCCGGAUUUAUUGGGUUUAAAGGGUCCGUAGGCGGACUUAUAAGUCAGUGGUGAAAGCCUGUCGCUUAACGAUAGAACUGCCAUUGAUACUGUAAGUCUUGAGUAUAUUUGAGGUAGCUGGAAUAAGUAGUGUAGCGGUGAAAUGCAUAGAUAUUACUUAGAACACCAAUUGCGAAGGCAGGUUACCAAGAUAUAACUGACGCUGAGGGACGAAAGCGUGGGUAGCGAACAGGAUUAGAUACCCGAGUAGUCCCUGUCUCUUAUAC